GAAAUGACCUAGCUACGCCAAUGAUGUAUCAUGAUUAUUAAAUGACUUAUUGCCCCAAGAUUGGCAUUAUACAAUGUUAUAAAUUAUUUCGGAAUCAGAGCUAAAAUAUAACCACUUUUGUUCAGCUCUUUACUCAAGGGUCAUAUUGAUUUAAUUUUAUUGAUAAGAACAUUCCAAUGUUUUUGUAUAGUCAAACUUUUUCAUGGCAAGUUUGGUGGUUUUAUUUAAACAUUAUUUCUUUUAGCACUUUCAAUGAAAGUACAAGUCCUUCAAGAAGUAGGAGAAGCUAACAUGGCUAAGCAACAGAACAGAAUUCAUUUUAGGCAUUGCUUUCUAGAUUAAAUAGAUAGUGGAGUCAUAGAUCUUCAUAUUCAUUUUAUGUGCAUAUCAAUAUGAGGAGCACCAGUCAAUGAAUAAUUGUGUGAUGAGAGAGUUUGUCUUUAGUGCCAUUUGAAGACAGUAGAGUGCCUCCCUGGAUUCAGUUACCAUUCACAGUGAACACUAUGAAGAAUAACCAAUAUAGAACAUAGAAGACUACCUCACAAACAUGGAAAAACUUCACAAACAUUUGAAAUAUUACAAGAAAAAUCCAAUAUUUUGAUUCAUGAAGAAGACAUUCAUUUUGACAUUCAUGUACAUGUUGUACUUGGAAAACUGAAGAAAUAAAAUUGUGAACAAAAAUACUUGAAAAUAAAGUUAGAAGUUUGAAAUUUA